rnacentral:rRNA from 1 species
AUGGCGCUCCCAUCACAUCCAUCCGUCAAGGGGGGUCGACCAAGGCGGACUGCUGCUUUCUUCCUUCCUCCGGCGCUCGCUCCUCAACUCAAGCCCAACAUCCACCGCCACCGCCGCUGGUUCGGUUCUGCCGCCGUUGUCAAGCAUCUGCUUUGUGGAACACAGGAGAACCACACCCCUGGCCUCUUCAUCUACGCCUCGGUUGUUGUCUCCCCAAGCAACGCCAAAGGCAACAAUAGCAAGAUUGGCCAGGUUGCAUUUGCAAGGGAGUGUAGCAGAUUCGACGUGGCGACCGAGUUGCUCCUGAAUGCGGAGAAGUGGUGCCGCCUGGCCGGUGAAGUGGCCGGCAGCAGGAAGUCUGCCGUAGACAUCGUCGAGAUCCUCUUCAAGGACAGCGCCUGGAAGACGCUCAGCGACCAGAUCAUUGUGUCAUCCUCUCCAAGAGGGGCCAGCUCAAGCAGUAAAAAGGCUUUAUUAUCAAGUGGCAUCAUCUGGCAUGAAUUAGAUCUAAAAUAA